rnacentral:piRNA from 2 species
UGCCCUGAGCAUGUUGAUCUCUUU